AUGCGGGGAAGGAACUGGAAUCUGGCUCCUUCAGAGGCCGCCCCCGGACCCAGGCGCCACAGGCUGUGCGGGGAGUGGGGACCCCCCGGCUCUCCAACACGGACCGACGUCCCGGGCGGCUCCGCCUCGCGCCUGCUUCCCGGUCCUGCAGGUCAGCGACGACCGCAGAUGGGACGGGAGCGCGAAGGUGGGUUGAGAGGGGUGUGUGUAUGCGCGGGAGAGGGGUCCUGCUAUUCUCAGGCGCUUUUAGGGAGACUAGAGUUGCCGACGAGAAUGUUAAGGAGCAGAUUCCUCCAACUUGCCCCUCUGUCGGGAAAAGACAGGACCGAGAGUGAGGCCCAGGCAACGACUGCCGCCUCUCGCCCUGCCCAGGGGAGUUUCGGGGAUCGAAAGCAGCCAGAGUCUGAGCUCGGGGAUGGGUUUUCAAAACACAGUUACUUCUUCCAGUCGUCUGAGGGAGAAUACGGUAAAGGCAAGAUCUCCGAUCCUGUUCCCCCACGGAAGCUCCUCUUCCUGGGAAAUCAGAGACUUGGGUUAUAUAAGAGCAUACAAGACACUUAAAUGAGAUCCCACGGUGUAUAAAUCCCACUGUGUCUCAGUGUCGUCGCUCUCCGAAUGUCCCUCUUCUGCGGGGACAGUUCACGUCGAAGCCCCAAGAGAAGCCCGUUUACUGUAGGUGUCUGCCCCCUCCACGACCUCAAGGAGACACACCCGUCCCAGCCCGCAGGCACAGAGAGCCUGAGGGAAAGAGCACCCGCAUGGAUGACUCCUCUCUGUGGGCACCGACCCCGCGCCGGCCGAGGAGGUCGAGACUGACCGGGCGAGAGCGGGAGACCGGGAUCAGGCUUGAUGCGUACUCUGUUCCCCACCCCUGCCUCCGGCCCAGGCUAAAGCAGGGUUUGGAGGCGGAAACAGCGGCGACCGCGGGAAUUCGCGGCGUCCCCGGGGACCGCCCGGGCGGAACCGCAGAGAGACGGGCACAGCGAGGUCCAGAAGAAUGGGAAAAGAGCUGCUCUUCCCUGGGAUUCGUUCCCCGGCUGCCAGGAUGCUCCCAUCUGGUUCCCCGUGCGCUCUCAAAUCUAUCUACAGGCAGAGAAAUCCACGCUCGUCUUUCCUGGGAAUUUAUUCUGUCGUGUCCCUGUGGGUGUUUCUUUUAAAGACCACUAUAGUGGGGAAAACCGGGAGGAGCUGAGAUGCAAUAAAAUUAGAACUCGUAAUUAACUAGUUGGGCCC
rnacentral:lncRNA from 1 species